UAUAUAUUUGGGCAAAACCGGUGAAAACCGGCGACGCAAAGCUAUAGGGACUGUAAAAUGUCAGCCAGUUGCACUU
rnacentral:ncRNA from 1 species